ensembl:lncRNA LINC01206 long intergenic non-protein coding RNA 1206
CACCACGAUGCCCGGCUAAUUUUUAGUAGAGACAGGGUUUCACCAUGUUGACCAGGCUGGCCUCGAACUCCUGACCUCAUGUGAUCUGCCCGCCUGGGCCUCCCAAAGUGCUGGGAUUACAGGUGUGAGCCACUGCGCCCGGCCAAGAUGUGGUGUUUCUAAUGGCAGGCACUUGAACCCAAUUGAACCCUGAGAGCUCUCUGAGAGGGCUGUGUGUCUUGGGAAUGAGAGAGUUAUGAGUUUUUCAGUGCCUUCUCUAGCUUUCUAGAAGUUGUUAUGAGUGGACCUGACUACCUAGAGAGAGUAAUACAGAAGCUCCGUGCCGAUCACAGCUACCUCAUUACCAUGUUCCUCCAAGAUGGCCGCCCCUGAGGAGAAUCAUCAACUGGGCUUUACGGAAGAGAGAAAUCCAAACGACCAUCAGCAACAAAUGAAAGACUGAAGUUGAAAGUUUCAAGAUUGUCAAGAAUGACGAGUUGGACUUGGUCUAGUUACUUCCACAGCAGCAGGAGGAACAUGUGUGUGACUCAGGAUAACUGGGGAAGCCUUGGCUAGGCUUUCCUCAUGUCAACCUACCACUCAAAGGGAGAAAACCUCCUGAUCAGAGGAAAUCCAUAAUUUUUGAAUGCUGGCCGAGGUCUGUGACCUCUGACUGAAUGGUUUCCAAGCUCCGAAUUCCUAGGUGAUGUUUUCAUUUGUUCACACUUGCUGAAGAAGGGAAAGGCUCUCUGAUUUACGUGUAAGCAAAACAAUCUAAACAGUAGGAUAAAAUCAUGUUGGAAUGGAGUUCUGUGUGGAUGCUCCUUUGAACCAAAUCAGUUCCACAACUGACCCUG